rnacentral:rRNA from 1 species
AUGAUAACACUAUGGUCCAUUUGGUGGGCUCGCCGGAAAGUGAUUCAUGAGCAACAAUUUCAGAGUCCGCUAUCGACGUUCUCCUUUAUCCAGCGUUUUCUGUCAGAGCUUGAAGGGCUACCAGUCAAGAAGUCUAACCAGCCCAGCCAACCCCGUAGGCCUGCCCGUGGCGGCUGGCAAGCUCCUGCUGUGGGAAGUGCCAAAAUUUAUGUUGACGGAGGUAUAGACAGACGAGAACGGAAGGGAGCUGUAAGUGCAAUUUGCCGUAAUGUGACGGGUACCUUCCUCGGCGCAUCCUCAAUUGUUUUUGAAGGUCUUACACAUCCAUCGACACUUGAAGCCAUUGCAUGCAGUGAGGCAAUGUCGCUAGCUCUUGAUCUAAACCUCUCACAAUUACAAAUUGCUACGGAUUGUCUACAAGUGGUUCGCAACAUCAAGGAGGAUAACCCAUGCAGCUAUGCCGUAAUCAUCAAGGAGAUUCUCGCAAAAAAGGCGUUGUUCCAGGAGGUGUCCAUUAGUCAUGAAAAUCGAGCAUGCAAUAUUGAAGCACAUAGUCUAGUGAAAGCUGCUACUUCUCUCGAGAGUGGGCGUCAUGUUUGGCUCACCUCACCCCCACCUAUAGCUUGUAUCCCUACAAACAUUUUUUAA